UACGUAGGCAGCGAGCGUUGUUCGGAAUUACUGGGCGCAAAGAGUGUGUAGGCGGUGCUCCCAGUCUGUUGUGAAAUCUCCCGGCUUAACUGGGAGGGUGCAGCGGAAACUAGAGUGCUAGAGGGUGGGAGAGGUAAGCGGAAUUCCUGGUGUAGCGGUGAAAUGCGUAGAUAUCAGGAGGAACACCUGUGGUGUAGACAGCUUACUGGACCACUUCUGACGCUGAGACACGAAAGCGUGGGUAGCAAACAGG
rnacentral:rRNA from 1 species